rnacentral:rRNA from 1 species
GAUGAACGCUGGCGGCGCGCCUAACACAUGCAAGUCGAACGAUUAAAGCACCUUCGGGUGUGUAUAAAGUGGCGAACGGCUGAGUAACACGUGGGCAACCUGCCCCUCUCAUUGGGAUAGCCACGGGAAACCGUGGAUAAUACCGAAUACUUCGGGACUUCCGCAUGGAAGACUCGAGAAAGCUCCGGCGGAGAGGGAUGGGCCCACGGCCUGUUAGCUUGUUGGUGGGGUAAUGGCCUACCAAGGCAAUGAUGGGUAGCUGGGUUGAGAGACCGACCAGCCAGAUUGGGACUGAGACACGGCCCAGACUCCUACGGGAGGCAGCAGUGGGGAAUCUUGCACAAUGGGCGAAAGCCUGAUGCAGCGACGCCGCGUGCGGGAUGAAGGCCUUCGGGUUGUAAACCGCUUUCAGCAGGGACGAGGCGAAAGUGACGGUACCUGCAGAAGAAGCCCCGGCUAACUACGUG